rnacentral:lncRNA from 1 species
ACAGUCAAGCAUAAUCCACAUUUGAAUUAUCUGUACCUUCCUCUGCUAAGCAACAAAACAUAAUUGAUGUCCAAAUCACAAAGGAAACCACCAUAACAUGUGAUCAUUCCACAAUAGAAAGAGAAAGCAUAAUAUAUAUAACCAAAUUAAUUGAGGGCAAACCAAACAUAAUUUUUUUUAGAUAAGCUAAAUUUAUAAAUAUAAGAGCACAAGAUGUGGCCAAGCAAAUUACAAGCACUGUACAGACCCAAGGCCAAAAGAAAGAGGAAGAAAUAGCGAGCUUCAGGGGAGAAAACAGGAAGAUAAAAAACAACCAACCAUUAUGCACGGUAAUAGUAGGCGCUUGUCAAAGGAAAAAAAAGGUAGAAGAAGCCACAAAACGACCGGCUAAUGUGCCUGCCCACUCUGUCANNNUGUACCUUCCUCUGCUAAGCAACAAAACAUAAUUAAUGUCCAACUCACAAUGGAAACCACCACAACAUGUGAUCAUUCUACAAUAAGAAGUGAAAGCAUAAUGUAUAUAACCAAAUUAAUUGAAUAAAGAAUCAGCAAAUGGAAGGUGUUAAACCAUAAGUAGUGAACUUGAAUAGUAUCAAGCUCAUUCUUAGAUUAUAAAUCAAUAUAAGAGUUUUGGAGAAAUCAUGUUUUAAGGUAUGAAAAGUUCCUGCUUAAGAUCAUCAUCCACCUAAAAAGUAAAAAUAGUAUACACAUAUAUCUUUAUAUAAUCAAAUUGAACUUGUUAACAAAAAAGAGACACAAGUGUUCAUACCCUAAUCAAAUC